GUGAUAUUUAAAGCUCUUAAGAGUGAAGGCCUGGGCCACUUGCUGCAUCACCCGUUUGCUGUCCUGUAUCCUGUUGGGACAUUGAGCCACUGCGAAUAAUGUUACUAUGAAUGUGACGGUUCGACUAUCUGCUGAGUCCCUGCUUCCAAUUGUUCUGAAAAUAUAUCCAGAAAUGGAAAUGGAAUUGCUGGAGCAGCGGAUAACUAAAAGAUCCCCGCGUCAUUGUGGUGUUUGUUCUGCACCACCAGGGACGACAGUCCUUUUUCUACACUGUAUAGCCAAGCAUACUUGGUGUAGGAUGAUAUUAACCACAAUAUGCAUGCAAUGUCACUGUUAAGUAUUGAGUGUGUUUUGCAGCGAAUUGAAUGCAGUUGUCCAACAUAGCCACUAGCAGGGUGACACAGGUACUUAAAACAGUGUGUAAUUAAAAGCAUUCAUUUAUUCAAAA